CAGGCUGCAAUGGAGAAGCUGGGCAAACACUUGGCCUGAGAGUGGAAACCAAAGUGGUUUGCAGGGCUCGAGAGUCAGUUGGUAAAAUCAUCUCUUAUGAGCUGGCCUGUCAGCCAGGCUGGGCACUAUGCUUGGGCUCCUGUUGCAGAGCUAAGCCUCAGCUCUCUAAUCCCCGCCUGCAAGAGCAGCCUGUGCAGCUGCUGAUGGACUCCUGAGCAAGUCACCGCACCCAGGAUGAGCGAUGAGCUUGUCCCGAUGGCUGGUAAAGAUGCCAAACUCUUCCCCUGGGAUCUGCAGGUACCUGCUGGGCAAGGCAGCUGCUGCAUUCACAGGGUCUCCCUAAGUUGCCCAGGCAGCUUUGAACUUGUGAUCCUCCUGCCUCCAUCUUCCGAGUUGCUGGGAUUACAGACAUUCGUCACCAUACCUGGCCCACUUAUAUUUUUAAUUUAUGAUGGGCUCCUGGGGACGUAACCCCAUCGAGGUCGACAAGCACACGGGCACCAGGGAGCAGGUUCUGAGCGCCAGCACAGACUUAGCCCACCUUUGCCCUUCCACUGACCCCCGGAGUUCUCAGCUUUCGGUCUCUGCCACCCUAUUUUCCCAGAAAACAAACCAGGUGAUGAUAUUCCCUUGCUUAAAACCCCUCAAAGCCUUCCUUUUGUCCAAAACAAGUAAAAGCUUAAACAGAUAAAAAUCCAGACCCGGCCCUCGUGGUCUGGUCUCUGUCUGCCUUUAUGGGAAUGUCUCCCUGAACCAGUCUUUCCUGAACUAGUCUUUCCUGGUUCCUCUGUGACCUGGUAAAUCCUCAGGGCUCUGCCCUACACCUCUCUCACCCCUGGACUCUUGGCGACCCUUCAAAGCCAACUUGGAACAUCAUGGAAGCCAUCCCACACCCCCAUGGGCAAGUUCAUCUCUCGGAGCUCCCCAGAGGAGGCGCCUGCACACUGAGCGUCCCCUUGCCACCAUUCUGUGACUGUGGGGACUGCCUCGCACUCAGCACAGGCACGCAGGUGCUUCUGGAGCAGCUCAGAAGUUCCUCCAGCUGUCUCGACAACUUGCUGCUUCACAUGAAACCUCAUCCAGAACUAAGGUGACAGGUUCCGACGUCUCUCAACACGCCAUCCACUUUGUCCACAAGCCAUCUUCUCCAAAACUCUUGAGGACCCUGGAUUUCUUGACCCACCAGGACCUCUGCUACCCUAAGACACUGAAACAGAUCUCAUCAAGGCCACAGUAGAAGGAGCCUGCCAGGAACCUGGGUCUUAUGCUGGUGAUUACCAAUCUCUGGGGAGUUGAAAUACCUUGUCAUUAUUUCUUUGAUUCCAAGACAUGCUCCCUCCAGCAAAAAGGGGGAAAGAUCACAGCAUGGCAUUUAUUUAUUUUCAAAUGAAAAUUAACCUUGUAUAGAAAUCUGCUGAGAAUUUGGGUUGUAUUUUGUAAUGGUGAUAUUUUGACACUGGGAAAAACUGCCAUAGAAACUCCAAAUUAAGUGAAAGAAACUGCUACUUAGUUUCAUCAAAGAUAUUUACUUAUUUCUGACUUAUUUGUCUUCAGUGAACCAGUACUUUGUUGAAGAAGAACAUAAAGUUUGUUUUGUUUUGUUGUUUUGGGUACCAGGGAUUGAACCCAGGGGUGCUUAACCACUGAGCCACAUCCCCAGCCCUUGUUAUGUUUUAUUUUGAGACAGGAUCUCAAUAAGUUGCUCAGGGUCUCACUAAGUUGCUGAGGCUGGCUUUGAACUCUGGAUCCUCCUGCCUCAGCCUCCUGAGUCACUGGGAUCACAGGGGUGCACCACUGUCCCUGGCAAGCAUAGAGUUUUGAUCUCUCUUCACCCUGGUAUCAGCUUUCUGUUAUUUGUGUUUUUAUGUUUUGUAUUCUUGUGCCCCAAAUUUCCGUGGUAAAAUGGAAAGUACCACGAUGUCCCACACUUUGCUCCUUCCUUUUCUUUCCCUUCUCAUUAAGAUAUUUAAUUUUAGAAACCUAAGCAAACUGUGUCCUUAGAAACACUACGGUGCAUCUGCCCCUGGAGACCUGUGUCUAAAGGUAUUGUCCCAGGUUGCAAAAGAUGGGGGUCACCAAUGUCUCUUGAUAGGAGAAUGGACGUUAUGGUUUGGAUGUGGUGCCCCCCAAAAGCUCACGUGUGAGACAGUGCAAGAAGGUUUGGAGGAGAAACCAUUGGUCUAGGGUCUUAACCUAUUCAGUGGAUUAAUCCCUGACGGGAUUAGCUGAGUGGUAACUGGAGGCAGGUGGGGUGUGGCUGGAGGAGCUGGCUCCUUGGGGGCGUGACUAUGGGAUAUAUAUUUGUAUCUGGUGAGUGGAGUCUUGCUAUUUCUGCUUUCUGAUCAUCACAUGAGCUGCUUCCCUCUGCCACACUCUUCUGCCGUGAUGUCCUGUCACCUUGAACCUUGAGGAAUGGAGCCACCCUUCUAUGGACUAAGACUU